AGAGUUUGAUCAUGGCUCAGAAUCAACGCUGGCGGCGUGCCUCAGACAUGCAAGUCGAACGCGAAAGUUCCCUUCGGGGGGCGAGUAGAGUGGCGCACGGGUGAGUAACACGUAGGUAAUCUACCUUCGGAUGGGGAAUAACAACCGGAAACGGUUGCUAAUACCGCAUAAUGCAGCGGCACCUAAUGGUGACAGUUGUUAAAGCGGGGGAUCGUAAGACCUCGCGUCUGGAGAGGAGCCUGCGGCGGAUUAGCUAGUUGGUAAGGUAACGGCUUACCAAGGCUAUGAUCCGUAGCCGGCCUGAGAGGGCGGUCGGCCACACUGACACUGACAUACGGGUCAGACUCCUACGGGAGGCAGCAGUCGGGAAUUUUGGGCAAUGGGCGAAAGCCUGACCCAGCAACGCCGCGUGAAGGAUGAAAUCCUUCGGGAUGUAAACUUCGCAAGAACGGGAAGAAUAAGCCGGUAUUAACACCACCGGUGAUGACGGUACUGUUUGUAAGCUCCGGCUAACUCCGUGCCAGCAGCCGCGGUAAUUC
rnacentral:rRNA from 1 species